rnacentral:rRNA from 1 species
UACAGAGGUCCCAAGCGUUGUUCGGAUUCAUUGGGCGUAAAGGGUGCGUAGGCGGCGCGGUAAGUCGGGUGUGAAAUCUCGGAGCUUAACUCCGAAACUGCAUUCGAUACUGCCGUGCUUGAGGACUGGAGAGGAGACUGGAAUUUACGGUGUAGCGGUGAAAUGCGUAGAUAUCGUAAGGAAGACCAGUGGCGAAGGCGGCAUCCUGGACCAAUUCUGACGCUGAGGAGCGAAAGCCAGGGGAGCAAACGGG